rnacentral:rRNA from 1 species
AACGAACGCUGGCGGCGUGCCUAACACAUGCAAGUCGAGCGCGAAUGGAGCAAUCCUAGUAGAGCGGCGCACGGGUGCGUAACACGUGGGUAAUCUGCCUCAAAGAUCGGAACAACCUGCCGAAAGGCUGGCUAAUACCGGAUAAGCCUACGAACUCUUCGGAGUUUGAAGGAAAGGUGGCCUCUGUAUACAAGCUAUCACUUUGAGAUGAGCCCGCGGCCCANCAGCUAGUUGGCGGGGUAACGGCCCACCAAGGCAACGACGGGUAGCUGGUCUGAGAGGACGAUCAGCCACACUGGAACUGAGACACGGUCCAGACUCCUACGGGAGGCAGCAGUGGGAAUUUUGCGCAAUGGGCGAAAGCCUGACGCAGCAACGCCGCGUGUGUGAUGAAGGUCUUCGGAUUGUAAAGCACUUUCGACC